rnacentral:rRNA from 1 species
GACGAACGCUGGCGGCGUGCCUAAUACAUGCCAGUAGAACGCACAGUUUAUACCGUAGCUUGCUACACCAUAGACUGUGAGUUGCGAACGGGUGAGUAACGCGUAGGUAACCUGCCUGGUAGCGGGGGAUAACUAUUGGAAACGAUAGCUAAUACCGCAUAAUAUUAAUUAUUGCAUGAUAAUUAAUUGAAAGGUGCAAUUGCACCACUACCAGAUGGACCUGCGUUGUAUUAGCUAGUAGGUGAGGUAACGGCUCACCUAGGCGACGAUACAUAGCCGACCUGGGAGGGUGAUAGGCCACACUGGGACUGAGACACGGCCCAGACUCCUACGGGAGGAAGCAGUAGGGAAUCAUCGGCAAUGGACGAAAGUCUGACCGAGCAACGCCGCGGGAGUGAAGAAGGGUGUCGGAUCGUAAAGCUCUGUUGUAAGAGAAGAACGGGUGUGAGAGUGGAAAGUUCACACUGUGACGGUAUCUUACCAGAAAGGGACGGCUAACUACGUG